rnacentral:rRNA from 1 species
AUUGAACGCUGGCGGCAGGCCUAACACAUGCAAGUCGAACGAGUGGCGGACGGGUGAGUAAUGUCUGGGCAACUGCCCGGUGGAGGGGGAUAACUACUGGAAACGGUAGCUAAUACCGCAUACCAUCGGAUGUGCCCAGAUGGGAUUAGCUAGUGGGUGGGGUAAAGGCUCACCAAGGCGACGAUCCCUAACUGGUCUGAGAGGAUGACCAGCCACACUGGAACUGAGACACGGUCCAGACUCCUACGGGAGGCAGCAGUGUGGAAUAUUGCACAAUGGGCGAAAGCCUGAUACAGCCAUGCCGCGUGUAUGAAGAAGGCCUUCGGGUUGUAAAGUACUUUCAGCGGGGAGGCGUUACUCGCAGAAGAAGCACCGGCUAACUCCGUGCCAGCAGCCGCGGUAAUUC